GAUGAACGCUGGCGGCGUGCCUAAUACAUGCAAGUCGAGCGAACGGACGAGAAGCUUGCUCCUCUGAUGUUAGCGGCGGACGGGUGAGUAACACGUGGAUAACCUACCUAUAAGACUGGGAUAACUUCGGGAAACCGGAGCUAAUACCGGAUAAUAUUUUGAACCGCAUGGUUCAAAAGUUAAAGACGGUCUUGCUGUCACUUAUAGAUGGAUCCGCGCUGCAUUAGCUAGUUGGUAAGGUAACGGCUUACCAAGGCAACGAUGCAUAGCCGACCUGAGAGGGUGAUCGGCCACACUGGAACUGAGACACGGCCCAGACUCCUACGGGAGGCAGCAGUAGGGAAUCUUCCGCAAUGGGCGAAAGCCUGACGGAGCAACGCCGCGUGAGUGAUGAAGGUCUUCGGAUCGUAAAACUCUGUUAUUAGGGAAGAACAAAUGUGUAAGUAACUGUGCACAUCUUGACGGUACCUAAUCAGAAAGCCACGGCUAACUACGUG
rnacentral:rRNA from 1 species